UCAGCCUCUAGGAUCAGAUCUAGGAUCAGCACCUAGGAUCAGAUCUAGGAUCAGAUCUAGGAUCAGCCCCUAGGAUCAGAUCUAGGAUCAGAUCUAGGAUCAGAUCUAGGAUCAGCCCCUAUCCUAACAACCAUCAUUGGGGAAAAAUACAAACUCCCCUAAAAUCCCUAUCGAGGGGCAACGUCACCUUAUUCCAAAUGAAACCCACCAAAUCCAUAUUUUAGAAAAGACAAGGCAUCUUUAUUCAACAAUCUCUCCCCUCCUCAAACAAUAUCUCAGCACAAUAUCUACUCUUUUCAUAUAAAAACAACAUUAUGUACACAUUUUAAUAUCUACACUCAUUUUACAUUAUACCACAAACGCUAUAUAUAAAGCUGUGUCCCAAAAUGGCACCCUAUUCCCUAUAUAGUGCACUACUUUGACCAUAUGGGAACAAUCCUAAAGUAGUGUACUAUGUAGGGAAUAGGGUGCCAACUGGGACUCAGAUGUCUUUUCAGUUCCAUGAUGACAGUCAGGCAGUGGAAAGGAUCAGUGGGUCAUGGAGGUUUUCCUUGGUUGGUCACUGAGGAGAAACUCUGGGCACUGUCCUGUAUAUGAAUAAAUCCAGCUGACAGUCAGACUGGCUAGAGAGUCUGGAUCCGAAAUGGCAUCCUAAACCCUAUAUAGUGCAAUACUUCUGACCAGGCCCCAUAAGGGUAGUUUGGGAAUGGGCCCAGAGGGGUAGUUGGGGUACGAGAACAGGAGAGGUCGUCGGGGUAUGGGCCCAGAGGGGUAGUCAGGGAGCGGGGCCAGAGGGGUAGUCAGGGUACGGGCCCAGAGGGGUAGUCAGGGUACGGGCCCAGAGGGGUAGUCAGGGUACGGGCCCAGAGGGGUAGUCAGGGUACGGGCCCAGAGGGGUAGUCAGGGUGCGGGCCCAGAGGGGUAGUCAGGGUGCGGGCCCAGAGGGGUAGUCAGGGUAGGGGUAGUCAGGGUGCGGGCCCAGAGGGGUCUGAUAAAGUAGUGCACUAUAUUGGGAAUAGGGUGCCAUUUGGGAUGCAGUGGCAGUGUCUCUCCAGUCACAUAGACUGGUCCCAGACCUGUAGUAAGGUCAGACCAUCAUGCUAGCCAGAGGGGUUGGCUGAAGACAAAACAGAUCUGGGAACAGUGUUUAUGACUCUCCAGUCAGUAAUCUGUACUCAGCCUCAUCUGGCCUUAUACACAUUCUACACAUCCAGCAGUAGUCUGGGUGGUUCAGGAACUAUACAUCCAGCAGUAGUCUGAGUGGUUACAGUAACUAUACAUCCAGCAGUAGUCUGGGUGGUUACAGUAACUACACAUCCAGCAGUAGUCUGGGUGGUUACAGUAACUAUACAUCCAGCAGUAGUCUGGGUGGUUACAGUAACAGUCUAUACAUCCAGCAGUAGUCUGGGUGGUUACAGUAACUAUACAUCCAGCAGUAGUCUGGGUGGUUACAGUAACUACACAUCCAGCAGUAGUCUGGGUGGUUA
ensembl:lncRNA